rnacentral:rRNA from 1 species
GUGAGUAACCUGCCCCCGACUCUGGGAUAACUGCUAGAAAUGGUAGCUAAUACCGGAUAUGACGACUGGCCGCAUGGUCUGGUCGUGGAAAGAACUUCGGUUGGGGAUGGACUCGCGGCCUAUCAGGUUGUUGGUGAGGUAAUGGCUCACCAAGCCUACGACGGGUAGCCGGCCUGAGAGGGUGACCGGCCACACUGGGACUGAGACACGGCCCAGACUCCUACGGGAGGCAGCAGUGGGGAAUAUUGCACAAUGGGCGCAAGCCUGAUGCAGCAACGCCUCGUGAGGGAUGACGGCCUUCGGGUUGUAAACCUCUUUUAGUAGGGGAGAAGCGAAAGUGACGGUACCUGCAGAAAAAGCACCGGCUAACUACGUGCCAGCAGCCGCGGUAAUACGUAGGGUGCAAGCGUUGUCC